UACGUAGGCAGCGAGCGUUGUUCGGAGUUACUGGGCGUAAAGGGUGUGUAGGCGGUUGUUUAAGUUUGGUGUGAAAUCUCCCGGCUCAACUGGGAGGGUGCGCCGAAUACUGAAUGACUUGGAGUGCGGGAGAGGUGAGUGGAAUUCCUGGUGUAGCGGUGAAAUGCGUAGAUAUCAGGAGGAACACCGAUUGCGAAGGCAGCUCGCUGGGACGUAACUGACGCUGAGACGCGAAAGCGUGGGGAGCAAACAGG
rnacentral:rRNA from 1 species